UAGCGGAGGAAAAGAAACCAACUGGGAUUACCUUAGUAACGGCGAGUGAAGCGGUAAAAGCUCAAAUUUGAAAUCUGGUACUUUCAGUGCCCGAGUUGUAAUUUGUAGAAUUUGUCUUUGAUUAGGUCCUGUCUAUGUUCCUUGGAACAGGACGUCAUAGAGGGUGAGAAUCCCGUUUGGCGAGGAUACCUUUUCUCUGUAAGACUUUUUCGAAGAGUCGAGUUGUUUGGGAAUGCAGCUCAAAGUGGGUGGUAAAUUCCAUCUAAAGCUAAAUAUUGGCGAGAGACCGAUAGCGAACAAGUACAGUGAUGGAAAGAUGAAAAGAACUUUGAAAAGAGAGUGAAAAAGUACGUGAAAUUGUUGAAAGGGAAGGGCAUUUGAUCAGACAUGGUGUUUUUUGCAUGCACUCGCCUCUCGUGGGCUUGGGCCUCUCAAAAAUUUCACUGGGCCAACAUCAAUUCUGGCAGCAGGAUAAAUCAUUAAGAAUGUAGCUACUUCGGUAGUGUUAUAGCUUUUUGGAAUACUGUUAGCCGGGAUUGAGGACUGCGCUUCGGCAAGG
rnacentral:rRNA from 1 species